rnacentral:lncRNA from 1 species
AUGCAUUUGCUGGGGCACCUUGUAAACCGUACUUGUGACCGCGGCCGUGUCUGGGAGCUCUCGCCCGGGUUUUCCCUGCAGCCUGGGCCCGGCAGGGGAGGGGAGGGGAGGCCAGGAGGAGGGGCAGUGAGGCGCAGUUCCCCUGGACCUCCAGGGUGGAGGGGUGGGCACUCUUGCUCCCGACCCAGAGGCCAGGCCCACUUCCUUUCCGCCCCACUUCUGUCCUGGCCCUGUAAGUGUAAGAUUCCUUGUAGGGGAGCCCUUCAAAGCCCUCCAGCUGUGAAAUUCUUGGUUUGUGGAGACUUCACCUGCUUCUGCUCCACUCAGCUCGCCCCAAGGCAACAUCCUACACCAACCACCACGGCCCUCGGGACCUCUGCCUCAGUUCCUCCACCGUGCUGGCUGCCCUGCCCCCCUCUCCGGCCUUGGUCUGGAGCGGUUGGAGCAGGACGUCCGAGCAGACGACUGAAGAGCCUGGGCCGGGACCAUCCUGGUGCCACACCCGGGGGCGUGGAGCCCACUCGCUGCCUCACCCGCCUUCUAGAACUCCCAAGUCUCUCCACAGGGGAUCUGGUGCUGGAACGCAAGGCGUGGACUCUGGGUCCAGGUGCGCUGGAUUCAAAUGUCGGAUCUGCUACUGCCUGCUCAUGCGACCUGGGCAGGCCCCUGCUCUGUGCCGUCGCCGCGGCAAGACGGUGCUCCUGGUAGGCUUAGGAACCUUACAGCAGCGGCUGUUUCGGGAAAUGACCCAGGACAGAACCUGGCACGUGGUAACUGCACAAAAUAAAUAACUCUUCAGUUUCCCUUUGAUUUCUUCUUUGACCCAUGGUUUAGUUUCUAAAUAUUUGAAGGUUUUCUAAAAAUCUUGUCACUGAUUUCUAGUAUUUCAUUUCAUUGUGGUUGAAGAACAUGCUCUCCAUGAUCCGAAUCCUUU